rnacentral:rRNA from 1 species
UGAGGUCUGCAACUCGACCUCAUGAAGUCGGAGUCGCUAGUAAUCGCAGAUCAGCAACGCUGCGGUGAAUACGUUCCCGGGUCUUGUACACACCGCCCGUCAAGUCAUGAAAGUCGGUAACACCUGAAGCCGGUGGCCUAACCCUUGUGGGGGAGCCGUCGAAGGUGAUCGGAG